CAAUAGCGUAUAUUAAAGUUGUUGCAGUUAAAAAGCUCGUAGUUGGAUUUCUGGUGGGAGCGAUCGGUCUGGCGCUUAGCGCGAGUACUUGCAUCGUCUCCGGCCAUCCUUGGGGAGAGUCUGUCUGGCAUUAAGUUGUCGGGCAGAGGAUCCUCAUCGUUUACUGUGAAAAAAUUAGAGUGUUCAAAGCAGGCUUAUGCCGUUGAAUAUAUUAGCAUGGAAUAAUAAGAUAGGACUUUGGUACUAUUUUGUUGGUUUGCGCACCAAAGUAAUGAUUAAUAGGGACAGUUGGGGGUAUUCGUAUUCCGUUGUCAGAGGUGAAAUUCUUGGAUUUACGGAAGACGAACUACUGCGAAAGCAUUUACCAAGGAUGUUUNCAUUAA
rnacentral:rRNA from 1 species